rnacentral:tRNA from 1 species
GGAGAGAUGGUAGAGUGGUCGAAUACACCGGUCUUGAAAACCGGCGUGCUGAGAGGCACCGGGGGUUCGAAUCCCUCUCUCUCCGCCA